CAAGGGAGAGCCUGUCUUUCUCCUCUGUGCUACCUGGAGUAUGUUACCUAGAGCCCACCUACCAACUUAGACAAGCUGGCUGAUAAGUAGUAAGAAAGUAUAGAGGAUUACACGGCUUUUGACGAUCAGGCCUGAAAGUGGCAUCCUUCACUUCUGCCCACAUCCCAUUGACCAGACGGAGCAACAUGAUUCCACCCCAACUGCAAAGGAAAGAAAUGCCAUUAGGGGCCUCUAGCAAGCAUCAGCCGCAUGGCUCCAACUUCUUCAUGGAGGUAAGGGUUAUCUACGAAGGACAGGCUGGACGCCCACAGGACCACUUCAAACUUAGAGAACUGCUUCUCUGGAGCCUUGCAAGAGAACACGAGUAUUGUACUACAAUAUCGAAGUCUUCCAGGGAAGGGUGGGGCCACUUCCAUCCUCAGGAAUCUGAGUUUUGGGAGGAAUUUUCACCCCCGGCAGAGAGUUUCGCUUCCUCCUCUCCCUAAACUAAAAUGAUCCAGGAGAGCAGGUUACCUCUUGGCCAUAGGCAGGUGUCCAGGUACUACCAGAAGAUAGCAACUCCGCUAAAGAUUGGUGGGUAAUAAAUACUUGCUGCAGAGUAUCAGCAACCCUGAAAUUUCAGGCUUUUAUCUUUCAUUCUAACCUAUAGCAUAAUUGGCAAAAGCAAUACAUAUGUAAUAAUAGCAAACAUUAGUUAUCUAUUAUAUUAUCUCAUCUUCGUGGAAACCCCAUAUUAUCAUGAAUCCCAUUUUAUAGAUGAGGAAGCUGAGUCUUGGUGAUGUUAGAUGUCUUACCUAGGGGCACUCAUAGCUAGUAGCAACAGAGCCAGGAAUCUAGGAUGCCAACUGAGGCAGAGACCAUAGAAGGAAAAAAUCAUUAUAUCAUAGUGUCAACAUGGCUAUUGACAUUAUUUUAUCUAGUACAGUAAUAUUUUUUAUGAAAAAUUUCUUAAAUAACAUUUAACCAGAAGCCAGUUGGAAAUGUGGUUCCCCCAACAUUAAAUUCAAGGUUGGGGUUUCACCUCCAUCACUGAGUCUGAGGCAGGACGGAAGCUGUAAUGCUCAUGUCAGAAAUCUGUUGUUUUCUCAAGUUUAGCUUCUGAGAAAUUUGCAGACCUGUAAGAGAUGAAAACCAGGGACCUUUCAAAGUAUGAUUGCUUACUUUUCAAUUUCCAUCUUUCAAGUAGUCUAAUACUUCCUGGGACAAAUAGAGUUUACUAUGGAAAUGUCUUCUUUGAAGAUGCAAUUUAGAGACAGACUUCUUGUACCCUCAUUUACGAAUGCAUUGUCAACAAAUUGCAUGUAUUUAUUCAACUUGUCCAAAUAAAAGCCAAAUAAGGCUCAGAAAUCAAUUUUUUGGCAAUUUGAGUUUCUGAGGCAGGGAGUAUAGGAAAGACCUUGUGGGUAUAUUCUCCUUGGUUAAAAAUUGAGUCAAACAAAAGGGCAAGAGGAAAUCUGGAAGGGUGAUAGACAUGUUUAUUUUCUUGAUUGUGGUGAUGGUUUCAUGGGUAUGUACAUCAAUUAAAAUUUAUUAAAUUGCACACUUUAAAUAGGUGCAGUUUAUUGUAUGUCAAUUAUACCUCAA